rnacentral:rRNA from 1 species
AUGAACGCUAGCUACAGGCUUAACACAUGCAAGUCGAGGGGCAGCAUGAACUUAGCUUGCUAAGUUUGAUGGCGACCGGCGCACGGGUGAGUAACACGUAUCCAACCUGCCGAUGACUCGGGGAUAGCCUUUCGAAAGAAAGAUUAAUACCCGAUGGCAUAGUUCUUCCGCAUGGUAGAACUAUUAAAGAAUUUCGGUCAUCGAUGGGGAUGCGUUCCAUUAGGUUGUUGGCGGGGUAACGGCCCACCAAGCCUUCGAUGGAUAGGGGUUCUGAGAGGAAGGUCCCCCACAUUGGAACUGAGACACGGUCCAAACUCCUACGGGAGGCAGCAGUGAGGAAUAUUGGUCAAUGGACGAGAGUCUGAACCAGCCAAGUAGCGUGAAGGAUGACUGCCCUAUGGGUUGUAAACUUCUUUUAUACGGGAAUAAAGUGAGGCACGUGUGCCUUUUUGUAUGUACCGUAUGAAUAAGGAUCGGCUAACUCCGUGCCAGCAGCCGCGGUAAUACGGAGGAUCCGAGCGUUAUCCGGAUUUAUUGGGUUUAAAGGGAGCGUAGGCGGACGCUUAAGUCAGUUGUGAAAGUUUGCGGCUCAACCGUAAAAUUGCAGUUGAUACUGGGUGUCUUGAGUACAGUAGAGGCAGGCGGAAUUCGUGGUGUAGCGGUGAAAUGCUUAGAUAUCACGAAGAACUCCGAUUGCGAAGGCAGCCUGCUGGACUGUAACUGACGCUGAUGCUCGAAAGUGUGGGUAUCAAACAGGAUUAGAUACCCUGGUAGUCCACACAGUAAACGAUGAAUACUCGCUGUUUGCGAUAUACAGUAAGCGGCCAAGCGAAAGCGUUAAGUAUUCCACCUGGGGAGUACGCCGGCAACGGUGAAACUCAAAGGAAUUGACGGGGGCCCGCACAAGCGGUGGAGUAUGUGGUUUAAUUCGACGCAACGCGAAGAACCUUACCAGGGCUUGACAUAUAAGUGAAUAAUUAAGAGAUUAAUUAGUUCUUCGGAACACUUAUACAGGUGGUGCAUGGUUGUCGUCAGCUCGUGUCGUGAGAUGUUGGGUUAAGUCCCGCAACGAGCGCAACCCCUGUGAUUAGUUGCCAGCGAGUAAUGUCGGGAACUCUAAUCAAACUGCCGGUGAUAAAUCGGAGGAAGGUGGGGACGACGUCAAAUCAUCAUGCCCUUUAUGUCCUGGGCUACACACGUACUACAAUGGCUGUAACAGAGGGAAGCAACAUAGAGAUGUGAAGCAAAUCCCAAAAAGCAGUCUCAGUUCGGAUUGAAGGCUGAAAUUCGCCUUCAUGAAGCCGGAAUUGCUAGUAAUGGCAGGUCAGCAUACUGCCGUGAAUACGUUCCCGGGCCUUGUACACACCGCCCGUCACACCAUGAGAGUUGGGGAUACCAGAAGCCUGUGAGCUAACUUUUAGAGGCAGCAGUCGAAGGUAGAAUCAAUGAUUGGGGUG